UACGUAGGGGGGCAAGCGUUGUCCGGAAUCAUUGGGCGUAAAGCGCGUGUAGGCGGUUCGGUAAGUCUGCUGUGAAAGUCCAGGGCUCAACCCUGGGAUGCCGGUGGAUACUGUCGGACUAGAGUACGGAAGAGGCGAGUGGAAUUCCCGGUGUAGCAGUGAAAUGCGCAGAUAUCGGGAGGAACACCAAUUGCGAAGGCAGCUCGCUGGGACGUCACUGACGCUGAGACGCGAAAGCGUGGGGAGCAAACAGG
rnacentral:rRNA from 1 species